UGGUCGUCCGCAGCCGUUGCGAGGUACUAAAGGCAAGCGUAAAGGCGCUCGUCUUUGGUAUGUAGGUGGUCAACAAUUUUAAUUGCAGGGGCUUCGGCCCCUUACUUGAGGAUAAAUUAUGUCUAAUAUUCAAACUGGCGCCGAGCGUAUGCCGCAUGACCUUUCCCAUCUUGGCUUCCUUGCUGGUCAGAUUGGUCGUCUUAUUACCAUUUCAACUACUCCGGUUAUCGCUGGCGACUCCUUCGAGAUGGACGCCGUUGGCGCUCUCCGUCUUUCUCCAUUGCGUCGUGGCCUUGCUAUUGACUCUACUGUAGACAUUUUUACUUUUUAUGUCCCUCAUCGUCACGUUUAUGGUGAACAGUGGAUUAAGUUCAUGAAGGAUGGUGUUAAUGCCACUCC
rnacentral:rRNA from 1 species